rnacentral:rRNA from 1 species
AGCAGCCGCGGUAAUUCCAGCUCCAAUAGCGUAUAUUAAAGUUGUUGCAGUUAAAAAAGCUCGUAGUUGAAUUUCGGGAUCAGAUUGUCGGUCGUGCCUCGGUACGCACUGGCAUUAUUGGUUCCUACCUUCUGAAGAACCGCGAUGUCAUUAAUUUGGUGUCGUGGGGAAUCAGGACUGUUACUUUGAAAAAAUUAGAGUGUUUAAAGCAGGCGCACGCUUGAAUACAUUAGCAUGGAAUAAUGAAAUAGGACGUUUGAUUCUAUUUUGUUGGUUUCUAGGAUCGACGUAAUGAUUAAUAGGGAUAGUUGGGGGCAUUAGUAUUCAAUUGUCAGAGGUGAAAUUCUUGGAUUUAUUGAAGACUAACUACUGCGAAAGCAUUUGCCAAGGAUGUUUUCAUUAAUCAAGAACGAAAGUUAGGGGAUCGAAGACGAUCAGAUACCGUCGUAGU